rnacentral:rRNA from 1 species
GUCUAUGGCCAUACCACCCUGAACACGCCCGAUCUCAUCUGAUCUCAGAAGCUAAGCAGGGUUGGGCCUGGUUAGUACUUGGAUGGGAGAAAGUGAGUUACUAAAUUUA